rnacentral:lncRNA from 1 species
GAUAUGAACAUGUAUAAAAAGGGAAAAUUAAGUAAGUUCAGUCCACCUGUGUAACUUCUGAUACAACGUUAGCAAUAGCUGAUUUAGCAUCCUCCUCAAUGAAGCAAUUUCUGAACUUCAUUUGGUUAUAGGUUAAACUCCCAACAUAAUCAUCUCAACCAAGUUCCUAGUUCAAAUUUGAAGUCUGAGAGUCAAAUGAUUUCUCAGGCAUUUUAUCGAACAGAUGGAGGUUGAGCAUUUGGUAUGUUACGAAUUUUGGGUUCUUAGGCUUAGAAAGCUUCUGGUAUUACUGUUUAUUUGGUUUGUUGAUGAUCUUACAGGGGAAAAUCCCAAAUAGGAAACAAAAUAAACAUUAGCUGAUGGAGUAUUCAUCGAUCACACACCCAUAUAAAAGAGAUCUGACUAGAACAUCACCAUCUGAUAAAACUGGUUAUUCAUAAGAGUGCUGACAGAAUCUGAAAUACAUUCUCAAACGACCCAAAAAAAUCAUCCAACCACACAAGACGAUAUCAAAUGAUCAACAAAGCCACAUAAACACGUUCUGAAAUAAGCCUACCAGACACGCUUAAUCAAGAUUUUACAGAAAAAACAAAAAACCCAAUAACGAGAUAGAGAAGGAAACCCUAAAAACGAUCGAUAAAACUACAGAAAAACUAUGUAGUUUCCUUCUGUUUUAAUGUUGCAAUACAACUUAUGCAGCAGUGCAGUUAGAAAAUCAGAUUUUACAGGGAAAAAAACAGCCAAUCAGAUAAAAGAGAAUUAAAAAAAAGCAACAACUAAACUUCGAUCUUUUCUUGUUCGUACAUACAGAGGAAACUUCAACUCGAAAUUAGAGAAAAAACCUAUAGAACUAAAAUAAACAGGAGAAGAGAAAAUGAUAAGAAUGAAAACUUACAAUGAUCUUGAUAAUUUCUUUGGAUUAUAGACAUGUUUGUGAGUGUCCUGCGAAGGAUGGGGCUGCUUGGGUCUCAGGGGAGCGGAGUCAAAAAGAUCGGGAUGAGUCUCCGGCGGUGUUUGGAGCAACG